UGGGGUGUCGCCAAGCGGUAAGGCACAAGAUUUUGAUUCUUGCAUGCGUAGGUUCAAAUCCUGCCACCCCAGCCA
rnacentral:tRNA from 1 species